rnacentral:rRNA from 1 species
AAAUUGAAGAGUUUGAUCAUGGCUCAGAUUGAACGCUGGCGGCAGGCCUAACACAUGCAAGUCGAGCGGUAGCACAGGGAGCUUGCUCUCGGGUGACGAGCGGCGGACGGGUGAGUAAUGUCUGGGAAACUGCCUGAUGGAGGGGGAUAACUACUGGAAACGGUAGCUAAUACCGCAUAACGUCGCAAGACCAAAGUGGGGGACCUUCGGGCCUCAUGCCAUCAGAUGUGCCCAGAUGGGAUUAGCUAGUAGGUGGGGUAACGGCUCACCUAGGCGACGAUCCCUAGCUGGUCUGAGAGGAUGACCAGCCACACUGGAACUGAGACACGGUCCAGACUCCUACGGGAGGCAGCAGUGGGGAAUAUUGCACAAUGGGCGCAAGCCUGAUGCAGCCAUGCCGCGUGUGUGAAGAAGGCCUUCGGGUUGUAAAGCACUUUCAGCGGGGAGGAAGGCGGUGAGGUUAAUAACCUUACCGAUUGACGUUACCCGCAGAAGAAGCACCGGCUAACUCCGUGCCAGCAGCCGCGGUAAUACGGAGGGUGCAAGCGUUAAUCGGAAUUACUGGGCGUAAAGCGCA